AGGCAGGCCGCUGCAAGGUGCGUGUGUCUUUGUCUCCUCUGCUACAUGCUGGCUGACUGAGUGGCCUGUGGUUUUGAUCGGCUUACUGGAAAUCCAUUGUUUGCUGGCGUGGCAUUGGCGGUUGCAGCUGGAGAUUGUUGCGGCGUGUGGCUUCCAUCUAGUCCUCACUUGUUGGUCCGCUUCCUCUCCGGGAAACUGUGCUUCCACUCCUGGGCACCAAUUGCUGUGGGCAUUGCAGCGCUUUGGACGCUCUGCUGUCUUGUCCUGUCAGUGUGGCGUGAGCAGUUCAGAACGGAACCUGCUGCUAUUUUGGAUAUGUGGGCGUGACUCCUUCGGUCCUGUUGUGAGCGGCUUCUGAAAUCGGACAUCAGCAAUUAUUCCAUUGUUUGAAGUGUUUUGUUUGUUUGCAGUCUGUGCUUAUUUGUUAUUGGAUUUAUUAUUCUUUUCUUUUUUUGCAUGGCAUGUUUUGUUUCAUUUAUUUCUUUUGGAAUGAUUUAAUUUGUCUUUAUUUCAGAGAAUCCCUUCCCCUUCCAGGGACCAAGUAGUACGCCUGAAAUGUGUUUUUAAAAAAGAGAAGUGUUUUAAGGAAAUUGUUUAAUAAACUAUUAUGUUUUAAUCAGUGUUCUGGUGCGUCCUAUAAA